GAUAAGUGACAUUUGUCGUCACGUACACUAGCGCAUAUAAUACCGUGUAAACGUUGUUUUUGUUUUCCUUUGACUAACCUAAAAAUCAAAAGCGUCAUAGUUGAUUGUUUACUCUGUUUACUACAUCGUCGAAAUCUAAGUCGAAGUGUUAAAAAUGGUUGUGAAGUGUGUAGUUCUUGGCUGCGGAGCUUACAGUAACGAUGAAAAUAUCGGCUUUUAUUCCAUAAAAGAACCAAUGUAAAAACACGCACGGUGAUGCAACAAAGAAGGUCAGAGUGGUUGAAAGUUUAGAUGCUGAAGGAUCCGCCUCCACAUGUUCGCGUAUGCGGCCGGCACUUAGUUUCGGGCCAGCCUGCAGCACUUAUUGAUGUCCACUCGACACCAAGUUUGCAUCUGUCCAACACCCGUGCGAACCAGAUUGCACAUCAGUUCGAUGUACCCGACCGGAAAAAAGCUAAGUUACAGACGGAGAACCUAAUGGUGUUUCCGAAAUUGCUCCUGUUGUAUCGUCAUCGCCUUCCAACAGCGCUGGUACCCCAUCGCUACAGUUUCCGUCCGACAGUGAUCCGCUGAAUCAGGAAUUAAGGAGUCUUGAAGCUUCAAGCUCGCAGUCUGUGCUGAAAAUUGAUAAUGAAAGCACGCCAAUCAAAUGCCCUUCCAAUGUCUUGCGGAACAUUUAUGAAGUAAGAAGCAACGGAGCCACCUCCUGCGACGUUUCAACCAGCUAUGUGUACAUGCAGGAUGAUCAAGUUGGUAUGCCCCAUAAGUACAACAUAUUCGAUUCUGGUAUGAUUGGAUUGGAACCGUUUCUUGAUGACGUUUUUACGGACCACAUUCUACAGAUGACCGAUGUCCUCGAUGCAACAAACGAUUUAUUGGGGGGGGAAUUCGGAUCCACCACCAUGAACUGGUAAAUCCGGGCAAAAGUAACAUUUUGCGGAAUAUCAGUUUGGCUGGUGCGCACGGUGUAGGGAUCCACUCCAACGACUUCAAUGUUUCGCUUGUAGCGGUCAGCAGCUUCCUGAGAGUCCUUAAAGACAUAAAAAUUGAAAUAAAAUAACAUAAUCUAUCUAUCUAUCUAUAUAAAUAAAA